rnacentral:rRNA from 1 species
GAAUCACUAGUGAUUUUCCGGUUGAUCCUGCCGGAGGUCACUGCUAUCGGGGUUCGAUUAAGCCAUGCGAGUUGAGAGGGUUUAGACCCUCGGCGGACUGCUCAGUAACACGUGGAUAACCUGCCCUAAGGUGGAGGAUAACCCCGGGAAACUGGGGAUAAUACUCCAUAGACCAGAGUGACUGGAAUGUUUACUGGUCGAAAGUUCCGGCGCCUUAGGAUGGAUCUGCGGCCGAUUAGGUAGUUGUUGGGGUAACGGACCAACAAGCCAGUCAUCGGUACGGGUUGUGGGAGCAAGAGCCCGGAGAUGGAAUCUGAGACACGAUUCCAGGCCCUACGGGGCGCAGCAGGCGCGAAAACUUUACAAUGCAGGAAACUGUGAUAAGGGAACCCCGAGUGCUCGUACACGCGAGCUGUCCAGGUGUGUAAAAAGCAUCUGAAGAAAGGGCCGGGCAAGACCGGUGCCAGCCGCCGCGGUAAUACCGGCGGCUCGAGUGGUGGCCACUAUUAUUGGGCUUAAAGCGUUCGUAGCUGGACUCUUAAGUCUCCUGGGAAAUCCGCCGGCUCAACCGGCGGGCGUCCAGGAGAUACUGGGAGUCUUGGAACCGGAAGAGGUAAGAGGUACUUCGGGG